CGAAGAUACCAGCUGGCUGCAACUGUUUAAUAAAAACACAGCACUGUGCAAACACGAAAGUGGACGUAUACGGUGUGACGCCUGCCCGGUGCUGGAAGGUUAAUUGAUGGGGUCAGCCGCAAGGCGAAGCUCUUGAUCGAAGCCCCAGUAAACGGCGGCCGUAACUAUAACGGUCCUAAGGUAGCGAAAUUCCUUGUCGGGUAAGUUCCGACCUGCACGAAUGGCGUAAUGAUGGCCAGGCUGUCUCCACCCGAGACUCAGUGAAAUUGAACUCGCUGUGAAGAUGCAGUGUACCCGCGGCAAGACGGAAAGACCCCGUGAACCUUUACUAUAGCUUGACACUGAACAUUGAGCCUUGAUGUGUAGGAUAGGUGGGAGGCUUUGAAGCGUGGACGCCAGUCUGCGUGGAGCCAUCCUUGAAAUACCACCCUUUAAUGUUU
rnacentral:rRNA from 1 species